GUGGGGAAUAUUGGACAAUGGGCGCAAGCCUGAUCCAGCCAUGCCGCGUGGGUGAUGAAGGCCCUAGGGUUGUAAAGCCCUUUCGGCGGGGAAGAUAAUGACGGUACCCGCAGAAGAAGCCCCGGCUAACUUCGUGCCAGCAGCCGCGGUAAUACGAAGGGGGCUAGCGUUGCUCGGAAUCACUGGGCGUAAAGCGCACGUAGGCGGCUUGUUAAGUCAGGGGUGAAAUCCUGGAGCUCAACUCCAGAACUGCCUUUGAUACUGGCGAGCUUGAGUCCGGGAGAGGUGAGUGGAACUGCGAGUGUAGAGGUGAAAUUCGUAGAUAUUCGCAAGAACACCAGUGGCGAAGGCGGCUCACUGGCCCGGUACUGACGCUGAGGUGCGAAAGCGUGGGGAGCAAACAGGAUUAGAAACCCUUGUAGUCC
rnacentral:rRNA from 1 species